ensembl:lncRNA
UGUUUUUUGUGCACAUUUUGACAUUUACAUCUCCUCCAAAUAUUAAUAGUUUAGUAAUUAUUUAAGCAUGCGCGAUAUGUGUCAGUGUAUGGAUGUUUGUGGGUGUGAGUGCAUGUGCGUGAACCUGAGCAAGACAUGCAGGCAUGUCCCACUCAUUGGCCAGUAGACCUGACAAUCAUCUCCCUUCCUCUAUCCCUCCCAUCCCCCUAUCUUCCUGUCCUGGUAACCAUUCUGUAAUGCACUGACUAAAUGAAAGAGAUUCACUUCUCUAUCCCAGCAUCCUUCACUCCCUCCCUCCUCUCCCUCCCUCCCUAGUUUGCCCCCCUUCUCCUGCACAACGAGUCACAGCCCUGCUGCCACCAUCUUAGAUUAGGACAAGGACUGGCACAAAAUGGCAGUGACAGAAUUGGUUUAAUCCCGAGAAAAACUACUAUAUGAGUUUCGAGGAAACCGGUCGAAGAGGGAUGCACCAACGGACAUACCAAGAAAAUGAAGUCACACACACUGACAAGAUGUUCUCCAACGUCUGGUGACCCAUCACAUUGAAGUUAUGUCACAGCCAGUCCACCACCUUCCAACGGCCACCCCACCUCACCAAUGGUGAUGUCCAUUUCUGAACAUAGUGGUUCCCGCCUGACCUAAAUGGAACCGGAUUGGCUCCUCUUCCAUUUUUUUCUGCCCCAAUAUUUAAACCUGAAGCACUUUGUGGGCGUUGAACGAUCUCCUUUUGGUUGGGGUGAACUUUAGGCACAUGCCUGGACAUGCCUGACAAACUGAACAUGGGGUAAUGUACUGUUGGGUCAUGGAUAGAGUGGAUACUCAACCACAGCUGCCUCUGUGGGCCUAGUCCCCAGACCGUCUUUGGAUACACCAAUCAGAGGAGAAGUUGAAAUGGACUACUGUGCACUAGUGUGUCUCUAUCCUCCUAUAACUAACUGACUGGAUACAUGGACAGAAAUGGAGGGUGUGAGAUGUCUGUGUUCUGUGUUGUGAUGGUACACUGUCUUCUCUGAGACGGCUCUACACACAGCUGUGUCUGUCACAUCUGCAAUACAUUCGACACGGGUCAGCAUGCUGAUCUGAUCAUGUGUGCUGUGCUUGUUUGUGUAUGUGUGCUGGUUUGUCUAAGUACAUACACUUUGAGUCACCCUCACUCAGCGCAAGUUCUGUUCUGGGAUUGUAAGCAACACACACACACGCACACGCACAAGCACACACACGCACGCACGCACACACACACACACACACACACACACGCACACGCACACGCACACGCACACGCACGCACGCACGCACACACACACACACACACACACACACACACACACACACACACACACACACACACACACACACAAAUCACAUCACAUCACAAAUCACAUCACAAAUCAUAGUAAAUGUAUUUUAACCUCCUUAUGGUUAACGGACAUAGGAUUUAUCAUGUGCUUAUGCUACCUGGCAAAAAUAACAUUUGACACUGGAGGAGGUUGUAUGGUUUAGUAGUAGAAUCGCACUGCACCACUGAUUUUAUUAUCAAGGGGAGGUUACAACUGGCAAAUAAGUAUUUUAUUGGACAGCCCACAUAGUAUUCAGAUGAUGUAUGUAUAGAUAGAACACGUACAAUGAAUUAAAGUAGAAACAUAGAAAUGUGCUAAUUGAUUGAUUUAAACAAUUGUAGUAUAAAAAUCAGAGUAGAACGAUUACUUAUGUGUUACAUAGUUUACGUAAUGGAAAUGAAUACUAGUUUAGUUAGAAUUAUUUUCAAAGUGUGAAAAUGUGUUUUAUUUUGUGUAUAUUAUUUCUAUGCAUCUUUUGAAACCUAUGCAAAUGAAUCCACAAAGUAGAUAUUUUAUCAUUUGCUAAUGACGAUCAUUCAAAUUCUCAGAGGGUUUAGAUUUUCCCCCAGACAAUCUGUUAUAUACUGUAGGGGGAUGUGAGAGAUUAGAAAUGAACCCUGGUCCAGACAGUAAAAUAUGUUGGGAUUUUACAGCGUUUUUCUCAACUGAUUUGGAUUUUUAUAUAUUUUUUUACAAGUGUAUCAAUAUCAAAAUAUGAACAUUGGAAUGUUUUAAUUUGUACGACCGUACGGGGACAUCUAUAGAUCUUCAACGAAUGGAUUGACUAGAAAGUUGCAUAUACAGUUUUCCAAACAAUUAUUUGGGGAUUUCAUGUGAACAUUUUUACUCUAUGCAACUUUUAUAUUUGAACUUUUUUUGUAAUAAAUAAUAUGACUAUCAUUCAGAGCAACUGCAAUUCAUAUUUUGAUUUAUGUCAUGCUUUUGAGGAUUAACUUCCACAAUGUUGAAAAUGUUUCAUAUUUUUUGCACCGUUUCAGACUUCAUUUGAGAAAUUAUACAAUGGCUGUAUACUAAAUAUGUUUUAUAGUGUGAUGUACUGUACGGUUUAACAACCAUGUGUACUCUACAUGAACAACAAAUGUGUACUAUAUGGUAUGGAAUAGCCUGUAAAUAUACUGUAUGUUAUCAAGACCACACGACAUGUAGUUGGUUAUGGGCAAUUUGUUGUGAGGAAUGUACAAUCAAGAGUGCAUGUGGGCACUACAUGAGGAGUGUAAACUUGUAAACAGUCAGCGUGAAGUGUGCGUAGAAUUAUGUAUCAUGUAGAAAGCAAGAGUACAAUAGAUGGAAUGUGUGAAAUGUGUGUGGAGGCGUGCACUACGUUGCGGGUGAAUGCGAUGUUUUAAUGACAAUGUUGGAUUUUAAAGAGAUGUUUGCAGGAGUGCACUAUGGCCCACAAGAUCAUAGACUACAUUAGGCAUGUUUGCAAGUGACCUGUGAAUCCUGACUGUAGGGGACCAACUCAUUCUUGUACCAUGGACUGUGUACUGUGCACGAUUAAGUCAACACAAGAAGUGAUUGCGUUUAAAAAGGUAAAAAC